rnacentral:rRNA from 1 species
UACAGAGGGGGCAAGCGUGGUUCGGAAUUACUGGGCGUAAAGGGCGCGUAGGUGGCCUUCUAAGUUGAACGUGAAAUCCCUGGGCUCAACCCAGGAACUGCGUCCAAGACUGGGAGGCUUGAAUCCGGGAGAGGGAUGCGGAAUUCCAGGUGUAGCGGUGAAAUGCGUAGAUAUCUGGAGGAAUACCGGUGGCGAAGGCGGCAUCCUGGACCGGCAUUGACGCUGAUGAGCGAAAGCUAGGGGAGCAAACGGG